rnacentral:rRNA from 1 species
AUUGAACGCUGGCGGCAUGCCUAACACAUGCAAGUCGAGCGAGUGGCGGACGGGUGAGUCAUGUAUGGGGACCGCCCGAUAGAGGGGGAUAACUACUGGAAACGGUGGCUAAUACCGCAUACUGUCGGCUAAGCCCUAGGGGAUUAGCUAGUAGGUAAGGUAAUGGCUUACCUAGGCGACGAUCCCUCGCUGGUCUGAGAGGAUGAUCAGCAACACUGGGACUUAGACACGGCCCAGACUCCGACGGAGGCAGCAGUGGGGAAUAUUGCACAAUGGGCGCAAGCCUGAUGCAGCCAUGCCGCGUGUAUGAAGAAGGCCCUAGGGUUGUAAAGUACUUUCAGUCGGGAGGCGUUACCGACAGAAGAAGCACCGGCUAACUCCGUGCCAGCAGCCGCGGUAAUAC